CUUUAAGGAGUUGGUGAGUUUUCUAUUCUCUUUAAGCAAUUAAGCCUAUAUUCAGAAUGGAUUGGUACUGACAACUUCACCUUAUAGCAAAUAAUUUAAAAGUAAUGAAAGAAUGUGACAAAGCCGGGUGAAAGGCUGGAAAGCUAGGGUGUAUUCUGCAGGCAUUUCAUCCUGCUUCGUCACAUUAUAACAAAGGAAUAGUCACAGGAGAGUCUUUAGAGAUGACUUAUUACAUGAAAUGUAAGUUUUGGACAAACGCAGAUGCAUCCUUGCCUGGAAUCAAUCCUGUGCUUUAUAGAGUUAAUAUUAAAUGGGCCUAGAAACUUUAUUUUGCCAACAAGUAAUAUGAAGAUACUUUGUAUCUUCUGCAAUGGAUGUAUUUAGAAAUAUGAUUUUAUACUGUUUACGCCUGAAUUGGAGUAUGUACUAAAAAGAGUUGAAGUGAUCACAAUUGUUCUCUUUUAGGUUCGAUCAAUCAGCAUCAAUGUUCGGAAAAAUCUUGCUUUUAACACACUGAGCCAGGAAAUUCUUCUGAAGGAAUUUUCAACCAUUUCAUGAAAAUGAACUCCUAAUGUGAUCAGAUGGCCACCAGAAGAGCUGGGACACAUUUCUACUAGCACUGUGGGUGGACUGUUGCGUCAUUGUUUCUAUUUCCUUUACACAUAACCUGCCUUUUUAGAGUACAAACAUAGGUCUUUGAUGAAUUCAGUUUCCCAUUGUUCCAAAUAUAUUGUCUAACUAAAAGAAUGGAAAUGACGCCCCAUCUCCCUGCUUAACGCGGACACAAAGCUCUUUGCUAAAAUUCUUGCCAACAGAAUACGCCCCAUCCUGGGUACACUCGUUUCUCCGGAGCAAUCGGGUUUUGUCCCGGAACGUCAGGUAGAGGACAACACAAGGCGUGCACUAGACAUAAUGGAACUCCUGACAGUACAUAGAACACAG